GCAGCACAUGGUGCUCUGUACCCGGCUUACAGUCACCUAUUCUCGGGUAAUUGAACCACCAACUACCGCUGACCUGGCGGAGCACCGUAGCCGGUGUCGCAGAGCUCUCUUGCGGCUAAACACAUCUACUAACUGCCGCUGACAUGACGUGCUGUGACAGAGGUCUGUAGCCGGCGUCACGAAGCUCUGUAGCGGCGUUGGUGUAUCUGUUGUGUGUAUGUGUGUGUGUGUGUGUGUGUGUGUUGUUAUGAAGGGGAUGGUGCCCUUGUGCCUAUGAAGUCUGCACACAGUGGACCAUUCUGACCCACAUCUCCCUCCUUAUCCAAAACAUGUCCUCCCUCCCUCCCUCCCUCCCUCCCUCCCUCCUACCUUUGUCUUCCUCCCUUCUUUCCUCCACCCCUCCAUCUGUCUCUCUGUUGACUCAGUCUUGUCCACAGUUGCUUCGCUGGCUCCUCCAAGGCAAUGGCUGAAAGCAAACAACAACAACAACAACGACAAACCACUGACAGCACGAAGAAGAUCACAACUGAUACGCCUGAAAAGCCGCUUCGCACCAUGAAACCUAUUGAGGCCUUGUAAAGGACGGCCGGGCACCAAGAGUGCACGGGAGGAAUAAAACGAUGGGGGAGGCUGCAAGGAGAGCAAAGGAGUGAGAGGCAGUCCUCAGUUCAACUGGAAGUUGCUCUGUCCCUCCUUCAUAGAGACCGUCUCAAAGCUCUUAUUUUCUGCCCCGAGGAGCGAGCAUCAAGGAGGGAUCUCCGAGGAGCUAUUAGCGAGGAUCGCCCAGGAGCUAUGAGCGAGGAUACACGAGAGCAGCUUUUCCGUAACUCUGCCCAUACAGCUGAAACAUUAAAAAUCUGAUGUUUAUUUUCCUUUACCCACUUUGUCACUGUAUCCACAUUAUUGGUGAUUAUUUAU